ACUGCAAAUAUAAAAAAUUUGGUUUUGGUCCUUGGUAUUUUGUUUUAGUCCUUGUAAAAUUGAUUCAUAUUGGAUUUGGUCAUUGUAAUAUGUAGAAUAUUUGAUUUUAGUCCCUCAAAAUGAGGACUAAAAUGAAUAUUAUAGGGACCAAUUUCAAUAUGAAAUGAUUUUACAAGGAUUAAAACAAAAUACCAAGGAUCAAAACCAAAUAUUCUAUAUUUGCAGG
rnacentral:pre_miRNA from 2 species